AACGAACGCUGGCGGCAGGCUUAACACAUGCAAGUCGAACGCCCCGCAAGGGGAGUGGCAGACGGGUGAGUAACGCGUGGGAACAUACCCUUUCCUGCGGAAUAGCUCUGGGAAACUGGAAUUAAUACCGCAUACGCCCUACGGGGGAAAGAUUUAUCGGGGAAGGAUUGGCCCGCGUUGGAUUAGCUAGUUGGUGGGGUAGAGGCCGACCAAGGCGACGAUCCAUAGCUGGUCUGAGAGGAUGAUCAGCCACAUUGGGACUGAGACACGGCCCAAACUCCUACGGGAGGCAGCAGUGGGGAAUAUUGGACAAUGGGCGCAAGCCUGAUCCAGCCAUGCCGCGUGAGUGAUGAAGGCCUUAGGGUUGUAAAGCUCUUUCACCGAUGAAGAUAAUGACGGUAGUCGGAGAAGAAGCCCCGGCUAACUUCGUGCCAGCAGCCGCCGUAACAC
rnacentral:rRNA from 1 species